CGCAUUCGAAUUUCUCUUGCUUCGGCACGAGCUUGUCGACGGGCAGCUAAACGACAUUCGCCCUGGAAAAGAAAAUAUUGAUAAAUAAAACUGAAAAAACAGUAAAAUGUUGAAAUUACACCUUCUCAGUACAUUUAUAUUAAAUUCUAGAGAAAUACACAUGCAUACGAACUCCUAAAACCUGAGUCGACCUUCAAUUCGACGUGUGAAAGAGUAAAGAGUAUACUGAUUUAACAGGUAAGUUUUUCAUCAUUGGAUUAUGGUUUUGCAUACGAUUUUACUCUAUCAAAUAACAAUGAAUAGGUAAGAUGCCAGGCACUUGAAAGCUCAGAAUUAACACAAUAUUUUCCAAUGCGUAGAAAAAUAAUUCAAAAAAAUUCAAAAAUUUGACAUUUAUCAAACUUUUUGAAUGUAUUUUUUUUGUUGAAAAGUAAAAUAAUCAAGAGAAGAAUAACAUUGCUGGGUAAAUGGAAUAAAACCUUACCUAGUAUAUUAUAAUUACCGGGUAAACGAUUCAAGUAAUACAGCAAUUCCGUCGUAAAAAUUAGAUGAAAGAGACAAUAUGUGAAUUUUUCAGCACUCGCGACACCAUUAAUUUAAUAAUGACAAUACGAACACAAAAGGAACGUCUAUUCUUGUGCCAAACACAAAUGAAUAACAGCAAUAACAACUCUAAUGCGACAGUCAGCGUUAAUUUUCAACAAUACAUACGAUUCAACCGACGACACGUAUUCGUUAAUAAAUUUCAAUUUACAUAAUUUUGAGUUUAAAUGAAGGUGCAAAAUAAUUCAUCGAAUAUCUAGAUUACCAUUACACUUCCCAAAACGCAAAUACGAUCAACACUAUGGAUAAAUAAUCACGAGGCACACCUAAGAACGUCAAGAUUCAGAUAACUCUUUUCCUCUACUCGAAAAAAACACAACGCCACUCGUCAAAACCACGAUAACGAAAUGAUAACGCAGAAGAGCUUUCAGUGCACGAGUAUUAUUGAUGUUUAGUGAAAGAUUACAGUGAAAUUCAAGAUGAUUUCGACGACCAAGUGAGAAUUUUAAUCAUGAAUCACGCUCUCGAUGAUUUUCGUGAAUUCACGAACGAUGCAUUUAUCAAAAAUUUUAUACCUGUUUAGCGAUUUGAUCCAGAGCUUGAUCUUCGAUGGUGUGAUUACUAGGCGCCCUUUUACGGCCACCGAUGGCGUAACUGUCCAUGAUGUAUUACUGCUCCAUUCAAUAUUAGUCAUACCACUGAUAUUUUACGAGUGAAACAACUGAAACAGACAAAUAUGCGGAGGUAAAAUAAAUGUGUUUAUUUUUACGAAUUACUAAUGCAAAGAUGAAACACCACUAUCAACACCACACACGCUUAUGAUUAUAUUCUAUUACUUAAUAAGUGAAAUAAUUUCCUA